GUGGGGAAUCUUCCGCAAUGGACGAAAGUCUGACGGAGCGACGCCGCGUGAGUGAAGAAGGCCUUCGGGUCGUAAAGCUCUGUCAUCAGGGACGAACGGCCGGUGGAGUGGAAAGCCACCGGAUUGACGGUACCUGAGAAGGAAGCCACGGCUAACUACGUGCCAGCAGCCGCGGUAAUACGUAGGUGGCAAGCGUUGUCCGGAAUUAUUGGGCGUAAAGCGCGCGCAGGUGGGAUCUGAAGUCCAUUUUUAAAGUGCGGAGCUCAACUCCGUGAUGGGAUGGAAACUGGGAUUCUUGAGUACCGGAGAGGAAAGCGGAAUUCCCCGUGUAGCGGUGAAAUGCGUAGAUAUGGGGAGGAACACCAGUGGCGAAGGCGGCUUUCUGGACGGUGUCUGACACUGAGGCGCGAAAGCCAGGGGAGCGAACGGGAUUAGAUACCCUAGUAGUCC
rnacentral:rRNA from 1 species